rnacentral:misc_RNA from 1 species
AAGUCGUAACAAGGUUUCCGUAGGUGAACCUGCGGAAGGAUCAUUAACACGUAUCCAAACGUUAAAACCCCCCCCGUGAACAUUGAUACCUCUGGCCCGUGCGAAAUCACAACAGUUACAAUUCGAGCGGUAGUUCUAUAGGCCUUGUUUCCCCAAGCAGUCAGUGUCUGAAAGUGUCAGUGAUUGUGCAAGGAUAACGCUUCACGAUUCUUGUAGACCGCAUCUCGCGGGCAGGAGCUAGGCCAAAGGGUCCCCAUGCCCCCUUACAACCCCACAGUUAAAUGUGAAGCUCAAUGUAAUACAUUGGGUAAAAAACCGAACAACUGUUAACAAUGGAUAUCUUGGUUCUC